UCUAUGAGUUUCCUUUAGGAAAAGACUAAUUAGAAUGGCAUUGUUUUUCAAAUGUACGUUUCCUAGGUGAUUUUCAAGGACCACUUCCGUUUUGCCCCGCGUUGGGCUCCCUAGAAACGCCCGGUGCUGUCUGGCACAGGAUCUUGGCCUCCAGCUGGUGCGGAAAGCUUAGAAAAUUUCUGCUGAACCGAAGGAGUUGACAUUUGGAGGCAGGAGUGCGCCAAAAUAUACUUGAUUAUUUCCACAGACACACCUACACACAGAGUAAUAAAACUCACCUCACUGAUUUGCUUAAGACUCACCUGACAUCAUUUAUAAGUGAGAAGCAGGAUAAGGGCCUUCGCAUCACCACUCUCUGGGACCUUAAGGAUUGCCUGAUCCACAUACAUGGAAUUCUACAUAGCAGAGCACCUGACCAAUGACUCCCCCCGUGACACAGGAAGUGGAGGGGAUGAGCACACGAACAUGAGAUCCACCAGUGGUAUCACACACCUCACCAUCCAGAAGCUACUGGAUGAAGUACUGGAAUGGCCAGUUAAAGAUGGAGCUGAGGCACCAGCAUGAAGGUGUCACACUACAACAAUGACAUAUCCCCCAGCACCUCAUAGUAUAUGCCUCGAAUCAGACAAGUUAGUAUGGUGCUGUGUCCCCAGCAGAAAGUAUAUAUAGGUCUAGAAAGAAUUAGCAGAAGCCUGAGUGGCCCCACUUACCAUCCUUCUAAUGACGCACUAGGAUUUCCUGCCCCACAAAACUGGGAUCUGCUGAGUUAGAAGUCCUGGUUUCCAAAAGGGGCACUCUCUUGUCUGAAGACACAGGAGAGAUCCCACUGGACUACAGUGAUGGCUGUGACCAGGUACUUUGGCCUCCUAAUGGUCAGAGAGUAGCAGAUAAGAAAAGGAAUGGCCAUCUUAUCAGAGGUAAUUGAUGCUGGUAGGCAGAAGGAGAUGGGGUGCUGUUACCCGGUGAGGGUGGGUAGAAUAUGUGUGGAAUUCUGUUGACCUAUUUGGGUGCCUUUGGGUACUCAUUUGCCUGACUCCUUUGGCUAUGAAUGGACAAGACAAGAGCAGCAAGCCUAGCCUGAGAAUGUGCUCAGACCCCUUACAAAUGAGGGUCUGGGGCACCCAACCAGGUGAGCUACUGGGAGGAGUUGAAGCGGGAGGAAUUUGAAUGGAUAGUGGUGGAGAGACAUGAUGAAGACCAGUUGUGGCCUUGAGGCCAAUUGCAGUGACAGGAGCUAAGGGGUUCAUUCCAUUAUCUUUGCUCUUAUAAGUUUUCUGAGAGGAAGAGUGGCCCUGAAAGAGCUGUUCCCUGAAUACAAAUGGUACAAAGGGUGGACUACAGCUGACACAGGGUGGCACUCAGGUCCCCUUUAAUCCAGGGCUUGCUGUCCAACUUCAAGGAAUAUGCCUAGCUGAUAGCCUUCAGCUUUGGCUUCUUUAGGAUACAUCACAGCAUCUGAGCUGAAGUCACCCAUUUCUUGGGUGGCCCUACCAAUGACUGAGCAGUGGUAGAAGGGCCUAGCCUUUUCUUCCCAAAGCUGGACUUCUGCUCCAGAGCAUCUUAUUGCGCUGGUGGAGACUGUAACAGAGGAAACAGCCUAGAAAAGGGUAAAAAUGUUUUACAAGCUGUCUCUUUAAAACCUUUCCUACUCUUUUUUGGGAAAAGAGGUUAGUGGUCAAAGCCAGUGGUCAGAAGGGAUAAGAGAAUAUCCUUUGUUCUUUGUGUCACAGGAAAUGGCUCAAUGGAAUUGUUCAAGGAGAAGGUCACCAGAUUGUCUUCCCUGGAGAUGGGAUAGAUGAGAACCAUCAACUGUAGUUAACAGUUGCCUGAGGCUGAACACCCCUCACCCCCUUUAAAAGCUCUAUAUUUCUGCUUAUAGAUA